CUACGGGGGGCACCAGUAGGGAAUCUUAGACAAUGGGGGAAACCCUGAUCUAGCCAUGCCGCGUGAGUGAUGAAGGCCUUAGGGUUGUAAAGCUCUUUCGCUGGGGAAGAUAAUGACGGUACCCAGUAAAGAAACCCCGGCUAACUCCGUGCCAGCAGCCGCGGUAAUACGGAGGGGGUUAGCGUUGUUCGGAAUUACUGGGCGUAAAGCGCGCGUAGGCGGGCUAUUAAGUCAGGGGUGAAAUCCCGGGGCUCAACCCCGGAACUGCCUUUGAUACUGGUAGUCUUGAGUUCGAGAGAGGUGAGUGGAAUUCCGAGUGUAGAGGUGAAAUUCGUAGAUAUUCGGAGGAACAUCAGUGGCGAAGGCGACUCACUGGCUCGAUACUGACGCUGAGGUGCGAAAGUGUGGGGAGCAAACAGGAUUAGAUACCCUAGUAGUC
rnacentral:rRNA from 1 species